GGGAAGCUACAACUGGAGGUAUUUAAUUUUUAUCUGUUACCAACGAUAAAUCAUUGUUAACGAAAACCGAUUCGGUGCAAAGUUCGGCAAUACAUAUUUUGAAAAGCUGUAAUAUUUAAGAGUUUUGUCAAAGUUUGAUUUUAAUACUCUCAUAAAAAAAAUAUAUUUUCUUAAACAUUUUCUUCUAAAUCAAUAGGCAAUCCAGUUCGGGCAGAAAAAACACGAUGCUUGAUAAAAACCUUCAGUUGUACUUACAACUGGCUGUUGCACUUAAAUCAUAUACUAUGGAUAGAGCUAUCGACUAAAUAUUUGAUACAAACACAACUAAGGGGAGUUGGAACAAAUUUGCAUGUGCAUAAUGGUCGAAUUCACGUAAUUACGUAUGACAUAUCUACCACCAUUACCUAGUGGCAUUAUAAUGAUCAUAAAAUAAAUAUGCGACGAGUACUGAUACGCAUGCACAACAGACAUCAGUCCCCUUAGCAUUCGUUAAUAAUGAUGUCUUCAACACGUACUACGCGUUUAUCAUGCAGUAGCUCUAUCCAAAGUAUAUGAUCUAAGCUGUUGCAAAAACGACUUUUAUCUUUUAUCUAUUCGACAAAUAAUGUCUUAUCGAAUCGAUAAGUUAGAGGCUCAAUUUUGGUUCGAUAAGUAAUAAAACCAGUCUCAUAACUAUUUAUUGAACUGAUAAUACGCUUACAUUUAUUGGUUAUUGACUUAAUUUAUUUUGUGGUUAUACAUUUUAUUAGUCUUUUUUAAAUUUUGUAUUAAUUUAAUAAUGAAUCAAAAUUUAUCAUUUCAAAAAGAUGAUAACAAAUAAUGACCGAUUUAUCAUUUAUUGAAUAUACCACACUACUACGACCAGGGUGUUAUCAAAUAAUUAUAUUUAUGUUGAACAUUUUACGCAACACUACUGAGGUGCAUUCAGAAACGUUAUCUACGAUUUUUGGGGAAUUCGCCAGAGAAAGAUUUAGCAACGCCCAUUUCAAUGAACCAACAAGUCAUCAACCAAGUUACCUAAGUUAUGUAACCUGUAAAUAGUUUUAUCAGAAAUAAAUUAGGUUUUGGCGGCCAUAUGGCAAUAGAUAAGGAUACCACCCAGUUAAUAUUAUCAUUAAUUAUUAUAAAACGAAAUUGUAAUAGUAAUCGGUAAAAAGGACCAAG